rnacentral:rRNA from 1 species
UACGGGGGGGGCAAGCGUUGUUCGGAAUUACUGGGCGUAAAGGGCUUGUAGGUGGCCAACUAAGUCAGACGUGAAAUCCCUCGGCUUAACCGGGGAACUGCGUCUGAUACUGGAUGGCUUGAGUGUGGGAGAGGGAUGCGGAAUUCCAGGUGUAGCGGUGAAAUGCGUAGAUAUCUGGAGGAACACCGAUGGCGAAGGCAGCCCCCUGGGUCGACACUGACGCUCAGGCACGAAAGCGUGGGGAGCAAACAGG